CCAGUUAGUUAUUAAUCCUCAGG
rnacentral:miRNA from 11 species